UUUGAACUCUGGCCUCAAAUCAGGUAGGACUACCCGCUGAACAUAAGCAUAUCAAUA
rnacentral:rRNA from 1 species